rnacentral:rRNA from 1 species
CUGCCAGAAUUCAUAUGCUUGUCCCGAAGACUCAAGCCAUGCAUGCCUAGAAGAAAAACUGGUGUCCUGGGACGGCUGGGCCAACCACCCCGAGUCGUCCUUGGCACAUGGGAAUCAGCGAACGGCUCCGUAUAUCUGUUGUCACCUUUCGUGGUUAAUUGGCGUGGAUAUAGCACGGAAAAGCUGUGUGUAACACAAGCAAAUGGGGCAACCUACGCAGGCCACUUGGUACAGGCCUGCGGCUGCUAAGUGAAACGCAUGCAACUUCCGUGUGUUCCCGCCUCUUUAACAGCUCCCAUAGUACUGUAGCCCCAGCCACGCUGUUCACUCGGCAUGAUACUGGGCCAGGAAACGGAGGCCUCAGCAUGGCCCGCAAGCACCCCUGCCUAUCGGUCGGUCGUGAUCGCGGUCGCCUUCGCUGAGACUAACUACAUGCACACGAUGGGCUUCAGACCUAUCAGCUAGAUGGUAAGGUAUAGGCUUACCAUGGCCAUGACGGGUACAGAGGAUUAGGGUUUGAUCCUGGAGAGGUAGCCUGAGAAAUCGCUCCCACUUCUAAGGAAGGCAGCAGGCGCGUAACGUUCCCAAUGCCAUUGUUUAACUUUGGUGAGGACGUGAGGGGACAUAACAAUGCCCAUCUAUAGAAGGGGGUAAUGCAAUGGCAUAGCUCAAA